UACGGAGGGUGCAAGCGUUAUCCGGAUUCACUGGGUUUAAAGGGUGCGUAGGUGGGCAGGUAAGUCAGUGGUGAAAUCUCCGGGCUUAACCCGGAAACUGCCAUUGAUACUAUCUGUCUUGAAUACCCUGGAGGUGAGCGGAAUAUGUCAUGUAGCGGUGAAAUGCUUAGAUAUGACAUAGAACACCCAUUGCGAAGGCAGCUCACUACGGGAAUAUUGACUCUGAGGCACGAAAGCGUGGGGAUCAAACAGG
rnacentral:rRNA from 1 species